rnacentral:rRNA from 1 species
GAUCCUGGCUCAGAAUCAACGCUGGCGGCGUGCCUAACACAUGCAAGUCGAACGCGAAAGUCCCGAAAGGGAUGAGUAGAGUGGCAAACGGGUGAGUAACACGUGGGUGACCUACCCUCGAGCGGGGGAUAACGUCCCGAAAGGGACGCUAAUACCGCAUAACAUCCUGCCUUUGAAGAGGCGGUGAUCAAAGCUGGGAUCGCAAGACCUAGCACUCGAAGAGGGGCCCGCGUCCGAUUAGCUAGUUGGUGGGGUAAUGGCCCACCAAGGCAACGAUCGGUAGCCGGCCUGAGAGGGCGGACGGCCACACUGGGACUGAGACACGGCCCAGACUCCUACGGGAGGCAGCAG